rnacentral:rRNA from 1 species
CCUACGGGAGGCAGCAGUGAGGAAUAUUGGUCAAUGGACGAGAGCCUGAACCAGCCAAGUAGCGUGAAGGAUGACUGCCCUAUGGGUUGUAAACUUCUUUUAUAUGGGAAUAAAACAGGGUAUGCAUACCCUCUUGUAUGUACCAUAUGAAUAAGGAUCGGCUAACUCCGUGCCAGCAGCCGCGGUAAUACGGAGGAUCCGAGCGUUAUCCGGAUUUAUUGGGUUUAAAGGGAGCGUAGGUGGAUUGUUAAGUCAGUUGUGAAAGUUUGCGGCUCAACCGUAAAAUUGCAGUUGAAACUGGCAGUCUUGAGUGCGGUAGAGGUGAGCGGAAUUCGUGGUGUAGCGGUGAAAUGCUUAGAUAUCACGAAGAACUCCGAUUGCGAAAGCAGCUCACUGGACUGCAACUGACACUGAUGCUCGAAAGUGUGGGUAUCAAACAGGAUUAGAUACCCUGGUAGUC